AUUGAACGCUGGCGGCAUGCCUUACACAUGCAAGUCGAACGGUAACAGGUCUUCGGAUGCUGACGAGUGGCGAACGGGUGAGUAAUACAUCGGAACGUGCCUAGUAGUGGGGGAUAACUACUCGAAAGAGUGGCUAAUACCGCAUGAGAUCUACGGAUGAAAGCAGGGGAUCGCAAGACCUUGUGCUACUAGAGCGGCCGAUGGCAGAUUAGGGAGUUGGUGGGAUAAAAGAUUACCAAGCCGACGAUCUGUAGCUGGUCUGAGAGGACGAUCAGCCACACUGGGACUGAGACACGGCCCAGACUCCUACGGGAGGCAGCAGUGGGGAAUUUUGGACAAUGGGCGCAAGCCUGAUCCAGCAAUGCCGCGUGCAGGAUGAAGGCCUUCGGGUUGUAAACUGCUUUUGUACGGAACGAAAAGCCCUGGGUUAAUACCCUGGGGUCAUGACGGUACCGUAAGAAUAAGCACCGGCUAACUACGUGCCAGCCGCCGCCGUAA
rnacentral:rRNA from 1 species